rnacentral:sRNA from 1 species
CUCUUAGUCUGGUGUAUUGAUCGUUUGACUUUCUGACAUCUUGUGGGUAAAACAGUUAUUUAAAAAAGGCUAUCUGAGAUAUUUGAGAUAUCUCACCGGAAGUAUAAUUUUUUUAUUUAUUUAACAUUGGAGAGAUGACAUAUGUAAGGAUUAAUACUUAUACUUUAAUUCUAUAUGAAACAAAAUUAAUGCAAAAAAAAAUAAUUUUAAGAGUGCUUCCGGUGACGACCGGAAGUUAUGACGAACAAAACAAAAUAGUUUGAAGACAUCUACAACUACUGGCGUAAAACAAAAACAAUAGGCUCAACUUCAGACUAUGGUCUACCUAUCCUGAAAAUUUCAUAUUCAUGUCUCUGAUAGUUUCAGAGUUUUAGUGUGCACAAAAUAGGUCGUAAAAAUGAACAAAAUGGCUGAUAAAUCGGCACCGGAAGUGACGACAAGAAAAUAAUCAAAAAUGUAUUAAGUUCAUAUCAAGUCUAAUCAUCUGUGAAAAAAUGGUGGAAAUCGGUCAAAUAGUUUUUGAGAAAUCGUCUGCACAAAAUUUGUGGGAAAAAAAAAAAAAAUAACUAGAUCUACAAAGACUAGAUCUCGUUACGAGUAACGAGUAGGUCUUCCGUUCAAUUUUUAAAUGAUACGAUUAAGAUAUCAAUGAAAUUUCAGAAUUCCCCCUCAACCACUCCCUUUUAGAUAAUGCAUACGAUUGUCAAUAUCCCUUAAAAUGUUUAACAAAGAGUUUUGUUUUUUCGCAUACAGCACAUUAAAGAUUUCAGAUUUUAGUCCCCUAUAAUCCCUAAUUACGUCAUCAAUUGGUUUGGCAAUGAGUAUUACAAUUUGAUAUUGCUACGACCAACAACUUUGUUUCUGUAAUGCAUUACAAAAUCUUGAUCGUAUUUAAGGUAUGUGUAAUAUAUUUUACGAGUGUCAUGGCCCCUAAUUUAUGGGGCCAGCCCUUUUUCUUGAGUUCAUUCGAAACAUCCAUGGACACUAACAUUUUUUGUUCUUAUACUUGUUGUUCAUUUUUGAGAUACAAAUGAUUGAAUAGUUUACGGGCCAGUCCUCUAGAUCCUUAAUGGGGACAGACUUUGGUGCUUUGAUAAAUGGAAUCGAUUAGAAUUAUUAAUGCAAACAUUUUCUCUUAUACAAUGCUUAACAAAGUAUGUCUCCUUUUCUAAAUAUAUUGCGUCAAAGUUUUAGUACUUUGUCCCCUAAAAAUCCCUAAUUACGUAAUAAAUGGGCGUGGCAAUGAUUUUACCUGAUAGAUAUUGUUACGAUCAACAACUUUGCUUCUAUAAUGCAUUACAAAAUCUUUAUCUUUUUAAGGUAUGUGUAAUAGACUUUAUGAGUGUCUUGACCCCUAAUUUAAGGGGCCAGCCCCUCUUUCUUGAGUUUAUUCGAAAGGUCUCACGAAUACUAACAUUUUUUGUUCUUACACUUAUCUAGAAUUGUUGUUCAUUUUUUAGAUACAAAUGAUUGAAUAGUUUACGGGCCAGACCUCUAGAUCCUUAAUGGGGACAGACUUUGGUGCUUUGAUAAAUGGAAUCGAUUAGAAUCAUUUAUGCAAACAUUUACUCUUUUACAAUGCUUAACAAAAUAUGUCUCCUUUUCUAGAUAUAUUGCGUCAAAGUUUAAGUACUUUGGCUCCUUAAAAUCCCUAAUUACGUAAUAAAUGGGCGUGGCAAUGAUUUUUUCUGAUAGAUAUUGUUACAAUCAACAACUUUGCUUCUAUAAUGCAUUACAACAUUUUAAGUUAUUUGUAAUAGAGUUUACAAGUGUCUUGGCCCCUAAAAAAAGGGGCCAGCCCCUUUUUCUUGAUUUUAUUGCAAAGAACUUUCGAUUAUCUACUACUUUUGUUAUAUAUGUCUUAACAAAAUAUCAACAGAUAAAAAGAUACAGAUCAAAACGUAUGAAAAUUUUGAAUAAAAAUUCGUACCCAAUUUUCGUGCCCAGGCGAGCUCUAAGAAAUGGCGCCACUGCCGUAAAACAACAUCAUAGUGCACAACUUCAAACUAUAGACUACCUAUCCUGAAAAUUUCAUAGUCAUAUUUCUGAUAGUUUCUGAGAUCAGCUCUGCACAAAAUAGGUCGUAAAAAUGUACAAAAUGGCCAAUUAAUCGGUACCGGAAGUGACGACAGGAAAAAUCUCAAAAUUGUAUUAAGUUAACAUCAAGUCCCAUCUUCUGUGAAAAAAUAGUUGAAAUCGGUUGAACAGUUUUCGAGAAAUCUCGCAC